AGCCAUGUAGUGAGCACAAAGCGAACUAUUCUUUCGCCUUUUUCUGAAGAAUGCCGUGUGCAUGCAAUUAGUGGCGUACGCCUUUUUCUGAAGAAUGCCGUGUGCAUGCAAUU